rnacentral:rRNA from 1 species
UACGAAGGGGGCUAGCGUUGCUCGGAAUCACUGGGCGUAAAGGGUGCGUAGGCGGGUCUUUACGUCAGGGGUGAAAUCCUGGAGCUCAACUCCAGAACUGCCUUUGAUACUGAAGAUCUUGAGUUCGGGAGAGGUGAGUGGAACUGCGAGUGUAGAGGUGAAAUUCGUAGAUAUUCGGAAGAACACCAGUGGCGAAGGCGACUUACUGGACACAUAUUGACGCUGAGGUGCGAAAGCGUGGGGAGCAAACAGG